GAUUCUGGCUCAGAACGAACGCUGGCGGCGUGCUUAACACAUGCAAGUCGAACGGGGAUUAAGUUGGAAAGGCUUCGGCCCGGAAGAUUAAUUCGAGUGGCGGACGGGUGAGUAACGCGUGAGCAACCUGUCCCAGACAGGGGGAUAACACUUGGAAACAGGUGCUAAUACCGCAUAAGACCACGGGGUCACAUGGCCCAGGGGUAAAAGGAGCAAUCCGGUUUGGGGUGGGCUCGCGUCCGAUUAGAUAGUUGGUGAGGUAACGGCCCACCAAGUCAACGAUCGGUAGCCGACCUGAGAGGGUGAUCGGCCACAUUGGAACUGAGAGACGGUCCAAACUCCUACGGGAGGCAGCAGUGGGGAAUAUUGGGCAAUGGGCGAAAGCCUGACCCAGCAACGCCGCGUGAGUGAAGAAGGCCUUCGGGUUGUAAAGCUCUGUUAUGUGGGACGAAGGAAGUGACGGUACCACAUAAGGAAGCCCCGGCUAACUACGUGCCAGCCGCCGC
rnacentral:rRNA from 1 species